GAAUUUGCUAGUCGCUCAGAGAACUGGAAUUUGCUUCCCAGGAUGGUGAACUACACACAACUAUACAAUUCCAACUCUAGGAGAACUGAUAUUCAUCUUCUAUCACCUGUACCCAGGUACAAACACACACAUGCAUGUGCACACUGCACAGACAUGCACACAUAUGCCCACAUACACAUGUGUGUAUGCAUAUAUGCAUAUGCAUGAAUACAUAUACAUACACCAGAAACUAAUAGAUCUUUUUUUAAAAAAACCCUCACCACAUAGUUCCUAGUAUGAGUAGUACCGAUGAAUGUUAAUGGAAAUGGUGGUAAUUAGUUCGAGAAGUAAAGAUUUACAAUGAACAAAUCUCAUUAAGAUGUCACCUGUGUGUCAAAUUUAGGCCGAAUAGACACAAUCCCAGUGCCCUUAUCCUACAAAUCCAUGUCUUUGUGGACAGAAAUGUAUUUCAGCAGAUACUAAGGGAGAAAGAGAGCCGAGUAGGAUCUGCCAGGAAGCAUAUAAGCACCAUCUUUAAGUGCCCGUCACUGCCCACUCACCUAAUCGAUUGGAUAAUAGCAAGGAGAGCUGGUUCGAUUCUAAGGAAGAGAAACCACACUGGAGAGACAGGAGGCAAGGUACCCAACCAAUCUGUGCAGAGGAUGCAAUCACACCUAUUGCAUGUAUGUAAACUGUUGAACAUACAUAAGUGAAGUCCAUGACUGUGUCUGACGUUUCUGCGUGCUCAUUGGCUCCUGCCUGGGAAUUCCUGCCAGGUACAGCAGACUGUCUUAAAGUGUUCCCUUCUUUUGCCCACCCACUGUCAGACUUCACCUAUAGGGCAUUUGGGACUGUGCUACCAGACAGGCAUAAGAACUGCUAAGGGUGAUUGAGCUCAAACCCUGGCAAUCUCAGAAAUCAGAGGACGGCAGGAGUAGAACCACUUCCUAUCUGUCUCUGUACCUGGUCUGGAACACGGAACCACAACACCCAACUGAGAGGACCAUAAGCAGUUAGUAGCAU
rnacentral:lncRNA from 1 species